UGUCAAUGGAUGGGAAUCGAACCCACGACCUUCCGCUUACCGGGCAGAUGCCAUGACCACUAGGCCACAUGAC